rnacentral:rRNA from 1 species
CCUACGGGAGGCAGCAGUGGGGAAUUUUGGACAAUGGGCGCAAGCCUGAUCCAGCAAUGCCGCGUGAGUGAAGAAGGCCUUCGGGUUGUAAAGCUCUUUUGUCAGGGAAGAAACGGUCUACUCUAAUACAGUGGGCUAAUGACGGUACCUGAAGAAUAAGCACCGGCUAACUACGUGCCAGCAGCCGCGGUAAUACGUAGGGUGCAAGCGUUAAUCGGAAUUACUGGGCGUAAAGCGUGCGCAGGCGGUUAUAUAAGUCAGAUGUGAAAUCCCCGGGCUCAACCUGGGAACUGCAUUUGAGACUGUAUGGCUAGAGUGUGUCAGAGGGGGGUAGAAUUCCACGUGUAGCAGUGAAAUGCGUAGAUAUGUGGAGGAAUACCGAUGGCGAAGGCAGCCCCCUGGGAUAACACUGACGCUCAUGCACGAAAGCGUGGGGAGCAAACAGGAUUAGAUACCCUGGUAGUCCACGCCCUAAACGAUGUCUACUAGUUGUCGGGACUUAAUUGUNUUGUACGUCNGCUACGCGUGAGUAGACCGCCGUCGGAGGUACGGUCGCGAGAGUAAACUACGAAGAAGUAGUACGCGUGAGACGUAGCGACGACGACGACGAGGGAGGAGG